CUACGGGGGGCACCAGUGGGGAAUAUUGGACAAUGGGGAAAACCCUGAUCCAGCAAUGCCGCGUGUGUGAAGAAGGCCUGCGGGUUGUAAAGCACUUUCGGUUGGGAGGACUGCUUCUAGCACUAAUAUUGUUGGAAGUUGACGUUACCUUCAGAAGAAGCACCGGCUAACUCCGUGCCAGCAGGCCGCGGUAAUACGGAGGGUGCAAGCGUUAAUCGGAAUUACUGGGCGUAAAGCGCGCGUAGGCGGCUAGAUCAGUCGGGUGUGAAAGCCCCGGGCUUAACCUGGGAACUGCAUCCGAUACUGUCUAGCUUGAGUACAGGAGAGGAGAGUGGAAUUCCACAUGUAGCGGUGAAAUGCGUAGAUAUGUGGAGGAACACCAAUGGCGAAGGCAGCUCUCUGGCCUGAUACUGACGCUGAGGUGCGAAAGCGUGGGGAGCAAACAGGAUUAGAUACCCUCGUAGUC
rnacentral:rRNA from 1 species